rnacentral:misc_RNA from 1 species
GGGCACUCUUUCUUACCUUGGUAUUCUCUCUGGGCCAACUCCCCCUCCUCCUCCAGUGUGAGAGUGGGCCCUCUGUGAAAUAGUCUUUUCUGUCUUCUUCUUUUAUGCUCGUUUCUUCUCUUCUUGCGUUCCGAUCUGCGUUGUUGACGCACCCCCGCCGCCCUUCUCGGCCCAACACUGGACGGUUAGCAUCGUGGGCCCGUUGGCUGUGGCGCGUUUGCUGCACGAUGCGCUUGCACAGCAGGCGCUAUUUUAUCUGUACACUUCUCCUUAAGUCCUCUCUCUCUUUCGACCCUCGUCCGUGGCUUGGCACCGCCGCCAGGGAUGCGACGUUCUCAUAUGGCCCCGAUUGUUUUUGCACUACUCCUGCUGGUGACCACCGUCGCCUCGGCGGUGACCGUGGUAACGACAGAGGGCGGUCUGGCAUUGGAGGCGAUCGGCUACCCAAACGAUGUGGUGCGACUGACUGCGAAGCCGGGGGACAAGUGGACAUAUCAGCCCGAUGGCAUCAUCCUGCCAGACGCUGUGGCAUUACAGGCUACCAAAGGAGCUAGCGACGCGCAGUGGAGCAUCCCACACGGGAAGUGCAUGCUGACGAUUAGCAUGGCGCCUCCGCAUGUGCGCUUCGAGUUCUCGUGCCACGGGAGCUCACUCGUAGAGGUGACCGCAUUCGCCGACGCGAUGGCGGCGCCGGAGGUCAACUUCACAUUCCCUGCUGCACAGACGAUGUACGGCCUGGCCGAACACGCAGCGGACCUGCCGCUGCGAGGGGGGAACGUGUACGAAAUGUACAACACGGACACCUUCCAGUAUUCGGUAAACAGUACCGAGGCGCUCUACGGCGUCAUCCCCUUUAUCAUGGCGUACGCGCCGAAGUCCACGUGCGGCGUUCUCUUUCUCAACCCGUCUGAGACCAAUGUGGGCGUCAGCGCCGACAGUGCGGCACCGUCGUGUCAAUGGAAGCCCGAGGUCGGCGCGAUCGACAUCUUUUUCCUGCCGGGCCCCACUCCGACAAAGGUGCAGCAGCAGCACGCGGCUCUCACUGGAGCGACGGUGAUGCCACCCUACUUCAGUCUGGGACUGCACCAGUGCCGCUGGAACUACUUGAACACGAAGGACUGCCUCUCCGUGGACGAGGGCUUCGAUACUCAUAAUAUGCCGUACGACGUGCUGUGGCUUGACAUCGAGCACACAGACAAGAAAAAGUACUUCACGUGGGACCCCUACACCUUCCCUGACCCCAAGGCACUGACGGACGCCCUGGCGUCCAAGGGUCGAAAGUUGGUCACUGUCAGGGACCCGCACGUGAAGCGCGACGAGGGGUAUUACGUGCACAAUGAGGCUCAGAAGGGUGGCUACUACGUCAAAGAUGCCUCUGGGGAGGACUACGUGGGCAAAUGCUGGCCGGGGAGCAGCUCGUGGCCGGACUUCUUCAACACACGCACGCGCGUCUGGUACUCGCAGUUCUUCCACGAUGACCGCUACCCGGGCGGCAGCCGCGACAUCCACACCUGGGUGGACAUGAACGAGCCGUCAGUGUUCGGUGGCGAGAGGGGCACCAUGCCCAAGACGGCGGUGCACAGCCUGGACAAUGGUCAUACCGUCGAGCAUCGUUUUGUGCACAACGCGUACAGCUUCUACUCGGUCCAGGCUGUCCACAAAGGAAUGCUCGAAGCCGGCGGCCCCAACACGGCGCCCGAGCGUCCUUUCAUCCUUACGCGAAGCUUCUUUUCUGGGUCGCAGCGGUAUGCGGCGAUGUGGACGGGCGACAACAUGGCCCGCUGGGACCACCUGGAGAACAGCAUUCCAGAGCUGCUCUCCUUGUCCAUCUCAAACUACCCUUUCUGCGGCUGCGACAUUGGUGGCUUCUUCUUCGACCCCGAGGAGGAGCUGUUUGUGCGGUGGAUGCAGGCCGGUGUCUUUGUGCCGUUUUACCGCGCCCACUCCCACCUCGAUACGAAGCGUCGCGAGCCGUGGACGUUCUCGGCUGAGGCCCAGUCUCUUGUUCGAAGCGCCUUGGCGCUGCGGUACGCCAUGCUGCCGUACCUCUACACUACUUUCUACCACGCGCAUACCGAGGGCAACACCAUCAUGCGCCCUCUCUUCUACGAAUUCCCUAGGCAGUCGGAGUUGCGCGAGGUGCAGAACACUUACCUCUUCGGCCCCUCCAUUCUAGUGCGGCCAGUAGUGAAGCCGAGCGUGACGGAGGUGACGGUGCCGCUGCCCAAGGAAGCGCUGUGGUACAACUACUUCUCGGGCGAGCUGGCAGUCGGACAGCACACAAUGCCAGUGGACAAAGAUACGAUACCGAUGUUCCUGCGUGGUGGCCACAUUGUCCCCAUGAAGUUGCGGCUUCGGCGCAGCAGCUUUGCAGCCCGCCUGGACCCUUUCACGCUCUUCGUGGCCCUCAACGCGCAGGGAAACAGCUACGGGGACCUGUACAUUGACGAUGGUACCACCUACGAUUACAAAAAGGGCGCCUUUGUGCACCGCGCGUUCUCCUACUCGAAUCAGGUGCUCCAGAACAGCGCCUACCCGAACUCCCCGGGGACCUCAGGGCUUUACAACGCCGUCAACGCCGUCGAGCGUGUUGUGAUCUACGGCUACGUUGGCAAGGUCAGCAAGGCGGUCUUGAACACCCGCGUGGACGAGACGGAGGUGGCGACGCCGCUCGAGUUCGAGCAGCUGGGACAGACCGUGGUUGUCCGCAAGCCCAGCGUCCUCGUGGCGGCCGACUGGAUCAUCUCGUUUGAGAAUGAAUAGGCGCCCCAGCGCUUCGAUACGCAGCCAAUGUCGAUAGCCUGGUGCGGCUGCUGGUGGUGUUGUGCACGAGGGUGCCUAGGCGCCGAAUGAGGGAGUCGAUAACAGACCUAUAGACUGCUCCUCUAUCGCCAUGGGUACUAGAAGGAGUGGAAGCAUGCACGCUCACCUCCCCACCCUGUUCUCUUACCCAUGACUGUGCACCUUACCUUCUCUGCCCUGUAUUCUUUUGAGCGAUGCGUAUCGAUGUUCCGCCUCUCCUUUUGCGCCACGACCGUGCUAGUUACGCGCACAUGCUGUUCGAGGAGAACGGCAAUGCGCGAUUCCUGACAAGGGGGGGGGCGUGAGAGCUGCAAUGCGAGGCGUAGAGCAGCCAUGAAGCACACAUUGUGCGCGACAAGAGAGAAAUCUUUCUGGGGAUAUGAGGCUACACAAGGGAAGACGAUAAUUUGGCUGUUCGCAGCGCUCUGUCGCGGGCAGGUGGGAGACGUGAGGAGCGAAAGCCAUCACACUCUUCUUUGUGCGACCCGGAACAGGUGGCAAGGCGCACUGCAUGCUCGUUGUGCAGCUCUUUUUGUGGUCAUGUGUUUCAUCCAAUAGUGUCGUGUCAGGCGCGGGAGCACACGCUGUAGGGGGCCGAGAGGUGCCUAAGAAGAUUAGUUGAACCUGUGAACAU